rnacentral:rRNA from 1 species
UACAGAGGUCUCGAGCGUUGUUCGGAUUCAUUGGGCGUAAAGGGUGCGUAGGUGGCUAUGUAAGUCAGAUGUGAAAUCCCGGAGCUCAACUCUGGAACUGCAUUUGAUACUGCGUGGCUAGAGUACUGGAGAGGAGACUGGAAUUUACGGUGUAGCAGUGAAAUGCGUAGAUAUCGUAAGGAAGACCAGUGGCGAAGGCGAGUCUCUGGACAGUUACUGACACUGAGGCACGAAGGCUAGGGGGAGCAAACGGG